UACGAAGGGGGCUAGCGUUGCUCGGAAUCACUGGGCGUAAAGCGCACGUAGGCGGUUUCCUAAGUCGGUGGUGAAAUCCUGGAGCUCAACUCCAGAACUGCCUCCGAUACUGAGAGACUCCGAGUCCGGGAGAGGUGAGUGGAACUGCGAGUGUAGAGGUGAAAUUCGUAGAUAUUCGCAAGAACACCAGUGGCGAAGGCGGCUCACUGGUCCAAUCCUGACGCUGAGGUGCGAAAGCUAGGGGAGCAAACGGG
rnacentral:rRNA from 1 species